rnacentral:rRNA from 1 species
CCUACGGGAGGCAGCAGUAGGGAAUCUUCCACAAUGGACGAAAGUCUGAUGGAGCAACGCCGCGUGAGUGAUGAAGGUUUUCGGAUCGUAAAACUCUGUUGUAAGGGAAGAACAAGUACGAGAGGGAAUGCUCGUACCUUGACGGUACCUUGCGAGAAAGCCACGGCUAACUACGUGCCAGCAGCCGCGGUAAUACGUAGGUGGCAAGCGUUGUCCGGAAUUAUUGGGCGUAAAGCGCGCGCAGGCGGCCUUUUAAGUCUGAUGUGAAAGCCCCCGGCUCAACCGGGGAGGGUCAUUGGAAACUGGAAGGCUUGAGUACAGAAGAGAAGAGUGGAAUUCCAUGUGUAGCGGUGAAAUGCGUAGAGAUGUGGAGGAACACCAGUGGCGAAGGCGACUCUUUGGUCUGUAACUGACGCUGAGGCGCGAAAGCGUGGGGAGCAAACAGGGAUUAGACUACCCUGGUAGUCCACGCCGUAAACGAUGAGUGCUAGGUGUUGGGGGGUUUCCGCCCCUNCGUGCGUGAGACGUACGACAUAAGUACACUCCGCCGUCGGGUAGGUACGGCCGGCCGACGGACGNGAACGUUAAAGGUAAAGUUAGUACGGCGUGAGACGUAGACCGACGGACGACGACGAGGGAGGAGG